rnacentral:rRNA from 1 species
UAGGGAAUCUUCGGCAAUGGGGGCAACCCUGACCGAGCAACGCCGCGUGAGUGAAGAAGGUUUUCGGAUCGUAAAGCUCUGUUGUAAGAGAAGAACGUGUGUGAGAGUGGAAAGUUCACACAGUGACGGUAACUUACCAGAAAGGGACGGCUAACUACGUGCCAGCAGCCGCGGUAAUACGUAGGUCCCGAGCGUUGUCCGGAUUUAUUGGGCGUAAAGCGAGCGCAGGCGGUUUAAUAAGUCUGAAGUUAAAGGCAGUGGCUUAACCAUUGUUCGCUUUGGAAACUGUUAAACUUGAGUGCAGAAGAGGAGAGUGGAAUUCCAUGUGUAGAGGUGAAAUGCGUAGAUAUAUGGAGGAACACCGGUGGCGAAAGCGGCUCUCUGGUCUGUAACUGACGCUGAGGCUCGAAAGCGUGGGGAGAAAACAGG